rnacentral:rRNA from 1 species
GAAUUUUCCGCUAAUGGGCGCAAGCCUGACGGAGCAACGCCGCGUGCAGGACGACGGCCUUCGGGUUGUAAACUGCUUUUACCGGGGACGAUAUGGACGGUACCCGGCGAAUAAGCCCCGGCUAACUCCGUGCCAGCAGCCGCGGUAAUACGGAGGGGGCAAGCGUUGUCCGGACUUACUGGGCGUAAAGCGCACGUAGGCGGCGUCGUGCGUCGGCACUGAAAGCGCUCGGCUUAACCGAGCGAGGCGUGUCGAUACGACGAUGCUUGAGGCAAUGAGAGGUUGGUAGAAUUCCGGGUGUAGUGGUGAAAUGCGUAGAGAUCCGGAGGAAUGCCUGUGGCGAAAGCGACCAACUGGUGUUGACCUGACGCUGAGGUGCGAAAGCGUGGGGAGCGAACCGGAUUAGAUACCCGGGUAGUCCACGCGGUAAACGAUGUCGGCUCGGUGUGUGGCGAUGAUACAACCAUCGCUGCGUGCCCCAGUUUACACGGUAAGCCGACCGCCUGGGGACUACGAGCGCAAGCUUAAAACUCAAAGGAAUUGACGGGGGCCCGCACAAGCAGCGGAGCGUGUGGUUUAAUUCGACGCAACACGAAGAACCUUACCCAGGUUUGACAUGUUCCUGCAAGCCCACGGAGACGUGGGACCUACGAGGGUGGAACACAGGUGCUGCAUGGCUGUCGUCAGCUCGUGUCGUGAGAUGUUGGGUUAAGUCCCGCAACGAGCGCAACCCUCGCCGUCAGUUACCAGUGUCUGGCGGGACAGCCGUCUAGAGAGACGGAGGAAGGCGAGGAUGACGUCAAGUCCGCAUGGCCCUUACGCCUGGGGCGACACACACUGCUACAAUGGCCGGGACAAUGCGUCGCGUCCCCGCAAGGGUGAGCUAAUCGCGAAACCCGGCCCCAGUUCA